CCUACGGUGAGCAGCAGUGAGGAAUAUUGGUCAAUGGACGAGAGUCUGAACCAGCCAAGUAGCGUGAAGGAUGACUGCCCUAUGGGUUGUAAACUUCUUUUAUAAAGGAAUAAAACGAGGCACGUGUGCCUUUUUGCAUGUACUUUAUGAAUAAGGAUCGGUUAACUCCGUGCCAGCAGCCGCGGUAAUACGGAGGAUCCGAGCGUUAUCCGGAUUUAUUGGGUUUAAAGGGAGCGUAGAUGGGUUGGUAAGUCAGUUGUGAAAGUUUGCGGCUCAACCGUAAAAUUGCAAUUGAUACUGGCAGUCUUGAGUACAGUUGAGGUAGGCGGAAUUCGUGGUGUAGCGGUGAAAUGCGUAGAGAUCACGAAGAACCCCGAUUGCGAAGGCAGCUUACUAAACUGUGACUGACAUUGAUGCUCGAAAGUGUGGGUAUCAAACAGGAUUAGAUACCCCGGUAGUC
rnacentral:rRNA from 1 species